CUUGGUCAUUUAGAGGAAGUAAAAGUCGUAACAAGGUUUCCGUAGGUGAACCUGCGGAAGGAUCAUUAUUGAAAUUAUAGGCGAGGGUUGUAGCUGGCCUUUCGGGGCACGUGCACGCCGGAGCCCUUAAUCCAUACACACCUGUGAACUUAAUGUAAGGGUCCGUAAAAAGGCCCCUACGUCUUUCAUCAUAAACCCAGUCUAAUAGAAUGUAAUCUAUGUCCUCGCCCUAAAAAAGCGUUGAUAAACUUAUACAACUUUCAACAACGGAUCUCUUGGCUCUCGCAUCGAUGAAGAACGCAGCGAAAUGCGAUAAGUAAUGUGAAUUGCAGAUUUUCAGUGAAUCAUCGAAUCUUUGAACGCACCUUGCGCUCCUUGGUAUUCCGAGGAGCAUGCCUGUUUGAGUGUCAUUAAAUUCUCAACUUCACCGAUUUGUUUCGAGUGAGGCUUGGACUUGGAGCGUGCUGGUCCUUCCUUGGGUCGGCUCCUCUUCAAAUGCAUCGGCGGAGUCAUCUUUGACUUGCGGUAUCGGCGUGAUAAUCGUGUUACGCCGUCGACCGAGGUCUCAGUCCGCUUAUAAUGGUCUUCGGACGACUUAUCAAAAUUUGACCUCAAAUCAGGUAGGACUACCCGCUGAACUUAAGCAUAUCAAUAAGCGGAGGA
rnacentral:rRNA from 1 species